rnacentral:lncRNA from 1 species
ACUUCGCCACGAUCGUCCAUCGUGAUCGAGUGAUCGGUCUGCGGAGUGUCGUACAGCUGCGAAGUUCUUUCCUCGUGGAUGGUCGAGAGCGACAAAUUUCGUGCCAGCUCGUGAAGGGGCGUGGGUGGCUCUUUGGCUUCUUCCUUGCGCACGGAGACGCGAUCCUCGAAGCCCAGGAGCGAAGCGGAGCUGGAGACCGAACCCAUGCAAUUGGUUGCUUCGCAAGUGCAAACCUUGGCAAGAAAGCACCAGCGUAUCUCCGAUCCGGCAGGAUUCAUCGCGCAAAAUUUUCUCGAAGACCGGAAGUGGUCCUGAAGGUGUGAGGGCAUCGGCUGGCUUGAGGGAUCCUUCUCUGCUGCCCUUCCCCACGACAUGGACCUUGGACGAAGAGCACGCCGUUCCCAUGCAAUUAACAGCUUCGCAGGUGUAAGUUCCCAACGAAGUUGGAUCGUCGGCGUUGGCUGUCAAGGCGAAAACAUCCCCGGCCUUGAUCUCUUUCUGAUCCUUGAACCAUUUCAACACCGGAGUUGGGACACCGACGACUUUGCAUUCGAGGGAGACGGUCCCGGUUUCCGUUAGCAAAGCCUUCAACUCCUCGACGAAUUCGGGCUUCUUGUAGGCCUUUGGAACUGUGUGAUCAUUCGCAAAAUCAAGAACCACCGAUGGAUUUGAGUCAACCAUUUAAAAAACUUGGGACUUUAGGAAAAAACGAUCAUCCCACCGAUAACGCUGAGGAAAGACGUGCACGAAGAUCUCCCACUCCCAUUCUCAGCCAUGCAGGUCCAGUGACCUUGGUCAUCGACCAUAACAGGCGCAACAUCGACGCAGUAGAAAUUACCCUCGUGAACGAAAGACAGUCUCGGCCCGGAUUGCACGAGCUCGUCAUUUUUGUGCCAAGUCACCUAAAAUUUGGAGAAAAGAAAAUGAUAAUUAUGGAGAAACAAGUUGGGCGGUUGAAAUGCCUGGAAAUUGUUAUACGGUCAAAACGACGUAUUCGCCUAGCACUACGCGCGGAUUGUCACGUGACGAAAUAGAAAGAGAAUCAAACGCGGAAGCCCGAGUUCAUGGACCUGUGUAAAAGCAGCGAAUGAACUCAUUCGUCGCUCUCCCAGUGUCUCUCUCGUCGUCCAGACGUCUGGCACGUCUCAAUAUGUGACUCGUGGAACUUCGGAUUUCAACGAGAAAUCGUGUCCUCGUACCAACUUUAACGGCGAGAUCGCUCAGUCGGCGUAAAAAUAUCGGUGGUUCACCCUCCUCGAUGAGGCUCUUCGGAUCCUGAAUACUCAGGCAAAUUCUGUGUUUCGAUUCCAAGCUCCCAUCGCUCGUUUCAGUUUAUUAUUCCACUGGCAUUCACUUCUGCAUUACAACUCCAGGGAAGUCCAGCCACGCACAGUAGUGAGUACGCAUAUGGAAAACUAAAAAAAUGGUUUCUUCAACGAAAUAUGUUGCUACGACGAGCAGGAAAUCUGGACGAGUACUGUUGCAUCGAGCCGGGCUUUUCGAACACGAGGUUUCGAUGGUCAAAGCACACAUAAUAAAACACACGGACACGGUGAAAAAGGAAAAGAAAGAGGGAGAGAGAGAAUAGACGUAUAUAGAGGAGUUCUUCGCUCGCCCUCGUCGCCGAUAUAUUUCGAGACAGCUCCGAAGCUAGAUCUGCGCGCGUCCACCGGCACCCAAUCGUGUAUCCCUAGGGCCGGGGAUGCAGGCCAAAAAAUUGCUCGUGCAUAGAUACAGGCAUACGUGCACAGAUAUUGGGGUCAAGAGACGAUUGUGCAAUGAGCAAAAAUUUCAUCACUGGGCUUCGGAGGCACGGGCCGGUUUCGACGAUCCUCCCAUCGAACGACGUACGUCGCGCUUUUUUUACGCACCUCUCAAAGACCGAAAUUUCCACGAUCGGGGGAUAGCGGAGGAUCACAUCGGUGCGAUCACGCGUGAAUUUGUUCGUCGUUGGAAAAGAGAGCCGCGAACGUUAAGCGCGUCCGCAAAGCUCUAAAAUGAGAACGAGAACAUCGAAGGUGUCAAGGCAGCUGACGUCGACGAGAAGCGUCCCUCUCCGCGUAGAUAGAACGAGAGAAAAGCGAGAGAGAGAGAAAGAUGGAUAGGUGAACAGGAGAGAGAACGAGCGAGCGAUUCGGCGUCGUGAUGAAUUCGUUUGUGACGCGAGCCAAACUCGCGAUUAUAUAUCAGAGGAGAGAGUCGUCUCUCCGAAAAGAUAUUCAUUGAUCGUUUGGGCCAUCUGUCGUAGCUCGUCGGUGAUUCGGGUGCUCGCAGCGUCCAGCAGUUCGAAGAGCUGCCUGGUCGGAACGAACUCAUCGGAAGAGACAAACUACCAUCCGCAAAGCCGUGCGCCGCAACUCGAGGUCAAACGAAUAAAAACUGUCAAGUACUAACAGAAUGAACUGCACUUCCUUGUGGCACUCGUCGGGAUCCAAUUCCAGUUCGACCACGAGGUCCUCGCCCACGGAACCGCUCGCUGUCACAUCAGCGUCCUCGUCCUUCCAUUUUUGCUCCCUGCCUCCGGGCUCACCGGCACCUGAGCAAAAGUUUUAUGAUUACCGUCCUCAAUGAAAAUUUAUCAUUUCCGAUGAAAAAGAAACGCCCGAAGAGCAAAAGCCAAGGAGAUUCGAAGGUGUACAUUCGACCUCGAGAGAUUCGGACGAAAAUGAUCAAUGCUCCGGACAAGAUGGAGACGAAGCGUUAUUUUGACGUCUCGACGAGGGUUGACAUGUGUCGUUUCAAGGGACACCUAGUACAAGCUCGAUAAAAGUCGCAUUACGAGAAUCUCUCGUGCUUGCUCCUUCCUCGCCAGCUUAAUCUCGUCUCGCUCGUCGUUGUCGUCAAGUUCGACUUGCCGGCACGACUAAAAAUAUCUUCCAAAUGAGCCAGGGAGUGUGUGCGCGUGUUUUCUCAUGUUCACGCUCGCUCUUUCUCUCUCUCUCAUAUUCUCACAUGGCCAAAGAUUCUUGUAGGCACCGGUAACUCACGGAUUUAAUGCAAACACGCGAUUCCCUCGCAUAUCAACUUGAUAUACACCCGAGAAAUCAUACUCUGGCUCGGUCUCGCGCGCACUUGCAUCCGAAUGCAUCAUUCGCCUCGUUACGAGGGUAGCGUUAUUAACAGUCGUUUGCGCGUUGGAGAACACGCACUAAAAUGCGCAGAGAAAAACACGGGGAUCUCGGGAGAGAGCGAGAGGAGAGAGAAUCUCGGCAACCCGCGCUCCGAGCAUUUGGCACUGUUUCAUCAAAGCUCCGAGUCUCGUGCGAUAUUAUAAUUCCAAUACCGAAAUUGGCAGAGAACGAGAAUAUCCACGAGCCUCUUUCUCCGCAGGAGGAAUGGGCACGACCAAAUUUUCCUACUGCCCAGGAUCUUUUCAUUUGACAAUUGCCGACUUUGAUUGAUCAAUGAGGGCUGAAGGUCCACAGUUUCUAGUACGCCAAGCGAGUCGAAUGUGUGCUCGCAAUGAAACGCGAUUUCGAGCGAUGCCACAAAAUUGGCAAAGAGCACGUUUCCCCGAGGAUACAUUGGUUCGGUGUGAAAUUUUCGAAGAGUCAGAACAAAUGGCACGCAGCGAGAAGUUCUUUCAUGAAAAAAUCAUCUAAUUGAAGAUAAACGAGGAAAAAUAUUGGAUCUGAGCAAAUGAGAAUGAAACAAAUUGAAGAGAAGAAACAAAAGGAGGACAAAAUGGUGACGAUCUUUCCAGCGAAGCUACCUACGCACUCUUCUAAGUGAAGAUUCAAUAACAAAAAAUCGUUCUAGAACGCAGACUCUCUGGGUUAAUGUACCUGCUAGAGUCAUCCCGUAUCAGAUGUCGGUGCUGCUGGUGAUAACACGAUGACGACGAUAAUACGAGGAGGAAGGAAUCGGAACCGCUCUCAAACACCACGAUAAAUUGCACGGCACACGCAGACACACACGCACGCGCACUCACUCACACAGAAUCGUGACAGCAGCGCAACGAGGUCGAUACAGAAGCGUGGAGACUCCGCGACUCUCCGAGGUCUUUGGCUCUCGCGUGAUAAAACUCUUUGGUCGGGAUGAUUACGAUGAAGCGAGG